rnacentral:rRNA from 1 species
CGUGCUUAACACAUGCAAGUCGAACGAGAAAGUUUCCUUCGGGAAACGAGUAGAGUGGCGCACGGGUGAGUAACGCGUAGGUAAUCUACCCUUAUGACUGGGAUAACAUUGGGAAACUGGUGCUAAUACCGGAUACGCUUCUUUGCUGCGGGGCAAAGGAGGAAAGGUGGCCUCUUCAUGAAAGCUACCGUAUAGGGAUGAGCCUGCGUACCAUUAGCUAGUAGGUGAGGUAACGGCCCACCUAGGCUACGAUGGUUAGCGGGUCUGAGAGGAUGAUCCGCCACACUGGAACUGGAACACGGACCAGACUCCUACGGGAGGCAGCAGUGAGGAAUAUUGCGCAAUGGGGGCAACCCUGACGCAGCGACGCCGCGUGAGUGAGGAAGGUUUUCGGAUCGUAAAGCUCUGUCAGAAGGGAAGAAGUGUUACAUGGUUAAUACCCAUGUAAUUUGACGGUACCUUCAGAGGAAGCACCGGCUAACUCCGUGCCAGCAGCCGCGGUAAUACGGAGGGUGCAAGCGUUGUUCGGAAUUACUGGGCGUAAAGGGCGCGUAGGCGGCUGGAUAAGUCAGAUGUGAAAGUCCACGGCUCAACUGUGGAAGUGCAUUUGAAACUGUCCGGCUUGAGUAUCGGAGGGGAGUGUGGAAUUCCCGGUGUAGAGGUGAAAUUCGUAGAGAUCGGGAGGAACACCGGUGGCGAAGGCGACACUCUGGACGAAUACUGACGCUGAGGCGCGAAAGCGUGGGGAGCAAACAGGAUUAGAUACCCUGGUAGUCCACGCCGUAAACGAUGUGAACUAGAGGUAGGGGGUGUUGAUCCCUCCUGUCUCGCAGCUAACGCAUUAAGUUCACCGCCUGGGGAGUACGGUCGCAAGAUUAAAACUCAAAGGAAUUGACGGGGGCCCGCACAAGCGGUGGAGUAUGUGGUUUAAUUCGACGCAACGCGAAGAA